rnacentral:misc_RNA from 1 species
GAUGAAGAACGUAGCGAAAUGCGAUAAGUAGUGUGAAUUGCAGAAUUCAGUGAAUCAUCGAAUCUUUGAACGCACAUUGCGCCCCUUGGUAUUCCAUGGGGCAUGCCUGUUCGAGCGUCAUUUGUACCUUCAAGCUUUGCUUGGUGUUGGGUGUUUGUCUCGCCUUUGCGUGUAGACUCGCCUUAAAAUAAUUGGCAGCCGGCGUAUUGAUUUCGGAGCGCAGUACAUCUCGCGCUUUGCACUCAUAACGACAGCGUCCAAAAGUACAUUUUACACUCUUGACCUCGGAUCAGGUAUGGAUACCCGCUGAACUUAAGCAUAUCAAUAAGCGGAGGA